GAUCAUGGCUCAGGAUGAACGCUAGCGGCAGGCCUAACACAUGCAAGUCGAGGGGUAGAGUUCUUCGGGACUUGAGACCGGCGCACGGGUGCGUAACGCGUAUGCAAUCUACCUUAUACAGGGGAAUAGCCCAGAGAAAUUUGGAUUAAUGCCCCAUAGUGUUAUUGAAUCGCAUGGUUUAAUAACUAAAGUUCCAACGGUAUAAGAUGAGCAUGCGUCCCAUUAGUUAGUUGGUAAGGUAACGGCUUACCAAGACAAUGAUGGGUAGGGGUCCUGAGAGGGAGAUCCCCCACACUGGUACUGAGACACGGACCAGACUCCUACGGGAGGCAGCAGUGAGGAAUAUUGGUCAAUGGGCGCAAGCCUGAACCAGCCAUGCCGCGUGCAGGAAGACGGUCCUAUGGAUUGUAAACUGCUUUUAUACAGGAAGAAACCCUCCCACGUGUGGGAGAUUGACGGUACUGUAGGAAUAAGGAUCGGCUAACUCCGUG
rnacentral:rRNA from 1 species